rnacentral:tRNA from 1 species
GGGCCGGUAACUCAGUGGUAGAGUGUAGGAUUGCAGCCCAUCAUAGUCGUUAUCCCGAAGUCACCGGUUCGACUCCGGUUCGGCCCU